rnacentral:rRNA from 1 species
UCUAUUUGGAGAUAUAAGAAGUCUGGCCUGCCCACUGAUAUAAGUGUUUAAGGGCCGCGGUAUUCUAACCGUGCAAAGGUAGCAUAAUCAUUAGGUUUUUAAAUGGAAUCUCGUAUGAAUGGUUGAACAAAAGAAAAGCUGUCUUUAUAUUAAAUUUGAAUUUAACUUUUAAGUGAGAAGGCUUAAAUAAUUUAGAGGGACGAUAAGACCCUAUAAAGCUUUACAUUAAAAUUAUAUUUUGUUGAAUUUGUAGUUUAAAAAUUUAAUUUAAUUAUUUGUUUUGUUGGGGCGACAACAGUAAAAUUUAUAUUAACUGCUUGAAAAAAAAACAAUAAUAAGUGAUUAGAGUAGUAGAUCCUAUAUAAAGAUUAAAAGAUUAAGUUACUUUAGGGAUAACAGUGUAAUUUUUUUUAAGAGUUCUUAUCGAAAAAAAAGUUUACAACCUCGAUGUUGAAUUAAGAUAUCUUUAUAAUGCAGCUGUUAUAAGGGAAGGU